UUUCCGUAGGUGAACCUGCGGAAGGAUCAUUAGAGAAAUGAGGCGAAGGGCGGCCCAACCGCCGCCCGGAGCCGACGCUCUCCACCCUGCCUUUUGAAUACCUCACCUCCUCCCCGGCCUCCGCGCCGGGCAGGCUUACUCGAAAAAACCUUGCAGUUUAUAGUCUAUUCAGUCAUUACAAACAAAAUUACAACUUUCAACAAUGGAUCUCUUGGCUCUGGCAUCGAUGAAGAACGCAGC
rnacentral:misc_RNA from 1 species